CAAUCAGCGAGACUCCGUGGGCGUAGGACCCUCCGAGCCAGGUGCGGGAUAUAAUCUCGUGAUGCACCGUUUUUUAAGCCCGUCAGAAAAGCGCAGUAUUCGGGUGGGAGUGACCCGAUUUUCCAGGUGCCGUCCCUCACCCCUUUCUUUGACUAGGAAAGGGAACUCCCUGACCCCUUGCGCUUCCCGAGUGAGGUAAUGCCUCACCCUGCUUCGGCUCGCGCACGGUGCGUGCACCCACUGACCUGCGCCCACUGUCUGGCACUCCCUAGUGAGAUGAACCCGGUACCUCAGAUGGAAAUACAGAAAUCACCCGUCUUCUGCGUCGCUCACGCUGGGAGCUGUAGACCGGAGCUGUUCCUAUUCGGCCAUCUUGGCUCCUCCCCUCCGAAAAAUAACUUUCUAAAGCAGACAGAGAGCAAGAGCAAGAGAGAAAGAAAACCUACAGGCAAGAAGAAGAAGAAGGAGGAGGAGGAGGAAGAGGGGAGGAGGAGGAGGAGGAGGAACCAGUGGUAUACCUAAUGUAAAUGAUGAGUUAAUGGGUGCAGCACACCAACAUGGCACAUAUAUAUAUAUAUGUAACAAACCUGCACGUUGUGCACAUGUACCCUAGAACUUAAAGUAUAUAAAAAAAAUUAUCAGCAAGUCAAAUAAAUUCAAAAACUAAAUUUAAAAAAUAAAUUAUAGACUGGACAAAUGACUUUUUUUUUUCAAUAGAGAUGGGGUCUCUGCAUAUUGCCCAGGCUGUCCUCUAACUCCUGAGCUCAACCAAUCUGCCCACCUUGGCCUCCCAAAGGGCUGGGAUUACAGAUGUGAACCACUGUGCCCAGCCAAAAUCACUUCUUAUUUUUUUAAAUUUUAUUUUAAGUUCAGGGAUAUAAGUGCAGAUUUCUUACAUAGGUACAUUUAUGACAUGGGGGUUUGUUGCACAGAUUAUUUAAUCACCCAGGUAUUAAGCCUAACUCCCAUAGUUAUUUUUCCUGAUCCUCUCCCUCCUUCUAGUCUCAACCUUCUAGAAGGCCCCAGUGUAGGCUGUUC
rnacentral:lncRNA from 1 species